GAUGAACGCUGGCGGCGUGCCUAAUACAUGCAAGUCGAGCGAUCAGACGAGGAGCUUGCUCCUCUGACGUUAGCGGCGGACGGGUGAGUAACACGUGGAUAACCUACCUAUAAGACUGGGAUAACUUCGGGAAACCGGAGCUAAUACCGGAUAACAUGUUGAACCGCAUGGUUCAACAGUGAAAGACGGUCUUGCUGUCACUUAUAGAUGGAUCCGCGCCGCAUUAGCUAGUUGGUAAGGUAACGGCUUACCAAGGCAACGAUGCGUAGCCGACCUGAGAGGGUGAUCGGCCACACUGGAACUGAGACACGGUCCAGACUCCUACGGGAGGCAGCAGUAGGGAAUCUUCCGCAAUGGGCGAAAGCCUGACGGAGCAACGCCGCGUGAGUGAAGAAGGUCUUCGGAUCGUAAAACUCUGUUAUUAGGGAAGAACAAAUGUGUAAGUAACUAUGCACGUCUUGACGGUACCUAAUCAGAAAGCCACGGCUAACUACGUG
rnacentral:rRNA from 1 species